rfam:Coccidioides immitis RMSCC 2394 supercont1.4 genomic scaffold, whole genome shotgun sequence.
GCACUCAUGGCUCAGUUGGUAGAGCGCGUCACUAGUAGGACGAAUCAAUCCGUGAUGACGAGGUCCAGAGUUCGACUCUCUGUGGGUGCA